CUCAAAGGGACUACAACGGGAGAGGAUAUUUUUGACAAAGUGUGCCAAACCAUGGAGAAGUUGGACCUGGACUGGUCAAAGCUAGCUAGCAUCACGACUGACGGGGCUCCUAGCAUGGUGGGCGAAACUCGCGGUCUAAUAGGACGCAUGAACCGGGAGUUGGAAAAAAGGGGUCUCACCGCCCCGCUACGAGUCCACUGCCUAAUUCACCAGCAAGCACUGUGCUGCAAAGUGUUGAAGUGGGAUUCUGUAAUGAAGGUUGUGGUGUCGUGCAUAAACUUCAUCAGAGCAAAGGGACUUAAACACAGGCAGUUCCAAGAAUUCCUGUCUGAACUGGAGUCUACGCACGGAGAUGUGCUGUACUACACAGAGGUCCGAUGGCUGAGCCGGGGCAGAGUUUUGAGGCGUUUUUACGAGCUGCUACCCGAAAUUAACGCAUUUCUUCAUUUAAAAGACAAAACGGUCCCAGAGCUGAUCGAUACUUAACAGCCUUAACUUGCAGCUACAAGGCGAGGGGAAACUCAUUUGCGACAUGUAUUCACACAUAAAAGCAUUUGAGGUGAAAUUAGCGCUGCUUUUGGAACAAGUGAAAAAGCGCAACUUCGUCCAUCUUCCUGCUACCCAAAACCUGUCGACAGAGAACCCAGCGGUCCCGUUCCCAGCUGAAAAGUGCGAAAUGCUGAAGGCGGAGUUCGGUGUGCGAUUCAGUGAACUACAUGUUCAUGCAAAAGAAAUCCGUCUUUUUCAGAACCCCUUUGUUGCCGACAUUGAUGAAGCCCAGCCUUCAUAUCAGUUUGAGUUGGCUGAGUUACAGAACUGUGAUGUUCUGAAAGACGCAUUCAAGCCCAACAGUCUCAUUGACUUCUAUGCCGCCCUCCCAAACGACACAUAUCCAAACAUCAAAAAACACGCAAUGAAAAUGUCCACAGUUUUUGGCAGCACGUAUAUCUGCGAGAAAACCUUUUCUCGCAUGAAACUGCUGAAAACCCCGAUGAGAUCAAGAUUGACAGAUGAACAUUUGCAUCAGUGCUUGAGACUGGCUGUAACUAGAAUGGAACCUGAUAUUCAACUUCUCACCAGCCAGAUGCAGGCCCACAGUUCACACUGAUGAACAUACAUAGGGAAGUUGAUGAGAGAGAGCUGCAAACAGCGGUGUCUACAAGCCUACUGGAACCUACAAAAGGAUUAUAAGGAAGGAACACAAGAACUUUAAGAGACUGCUCAUAUGUGUCAGAGAGAUUCUGCUCUGACAACUGAGCUGAACUUUUAUCUGUUAAGAUUGUGCAUGGCACGACAGAAAGUUAAUGUUCCAUGGCUUUUUUUUCUAUGAAGAACCCAGAGAGAGUUAUUUAGUUAUUAUUUAUUUCCUGUUUUUUCUGUGAAGAACUCAGAGAGGGUUAUUUAGUUAUUAUUUAUUUCAUUAAUAGUGUUAUUAUUUGUUUCCUGACUUUUUUUCUGUAAAGAACCUGGAAAGGGUUAUUUGGUUAUGUGUGGCUUUCUGGAAAACAAUACAUUUUUUAAGCUCCCCUACGAUCGUCACACUUUUUCUGUUACAAACUGACACCGGCCCCCCAUCAGAGAAGGGAAAAGUUAUGUGGCCCUCACAGGAAAAAGUUUGGGGACCCCUGCUCUAA